GCAUUGAUAGUUCAGUGGCAGAGCAGUGGGUCGCUGACCCAUACUGGCCGGCCUCGAGCCCCAGUCGAUGCA